AUCUACUUAUGUACAACAUUGCAGAAACUCGCAUAGCGUCGAGCAAAGGAAACAUCAAACAUGUAUAGACAGACAGCAGGGUAGAGUCCAAGACCCCUUAGACUAGCCUGGAAUUGAAACCCCUCCCUAAUGAUCCUCUUUGCUCCACCUGCCUGCAAAAUGUCGUACAGAACAAUCAAUAGAAUCACAAAUUGUUAGAACCAAUUAAACAAAUUUUCGUAGAAAAUGUUGAAAAAACUAGACAAUCAUUGAAGGAUACAGAAGAACAGGAACAUCUGUUGGCCCCACUGCAACUUUCAACAUUCCCUGCCGUAUGAAAAAAACAAUUUUCUCCUAUGAGUCGCAGACAGAACAUACAAUAAUACUUGAAGAAAGGCAAACAUUUAAUUCUGGUUUAGUAGGCUUACCAUUAUAAAAACAGGAAUGUAGUUGCAGAGAGCAACUGAGAACAAUAUCAAAACCAUUUCAUAACAGCAAUCUGUUAUAUCAUGACUUCGACCUUAGAUAACCCAUUUGAUUCACAAGGUCUCGCAAUUCCUCACCCCAAUCCUCAGGUUUUGCAACCAAAUCCUCAACUUCUACAUCAAAUUCCAGUUCAUCAUCUGGGAUAACUUCUUCAUUGGGAUUGCCAGCAAUUACAUCAUCAUUCAGCAACUCCUCCCAAAUAGUCUCAUUCACAGAACCCCAAUUAUCCACGCCAGUCCCUUGUGUAGAACAUGCUAUUGGAUCCCCGACAUCACUGCUUGAUUCAUUAUCCAAGGAGAACAAUGUAUCUAUCUCCGUUUCUAUAGUUCCCAAUUCUUGAUUCGUGUAAUCCACAACUUGGCCAACACCAAUCGCCAUAGAAGCAGCUUCCUCUUGCAAAUUUUCUAAACUUGGGCUUGCCAUGAGUCUCCGCUUGCGCCCAAUUUCAACACCUCUCAGUUCUCUCCUCUGCAUACUCCUCCGAGAGAGUUGCUGGACAAAGGAUGGAUUGUUGAGAGCCUUAGCAAGGAAUGUCAUCAUCUGCUGUUGUUUUCUCUCUGUACUUUGUAACCUAUCCUCCAUUGCAGCUAUUUGUUCCCUUGACUGCUGUUGUUGAUGCCGAAGCCUCACGAUUUCUGCCAUUAGCACACUUCUAUCUCUUUUUAAUCUCUCUAGCUCACCUUCCAAUCCAAACUCUCCAACUUCAACGCAAGGUCCUUCACUUUGCUGCUGCAUACUUUGAGAAACAUGUCUUCUUCUUUUGAUGGUCUUCAGUAGAUGCUUCUGCCCUCUCAGAAACCCUUCAUUUGCAAAUUCCCAUCGAUCAGGAUCAACUUUUCUGAAUCCAUAAGUGUUAAGCUGGCGAAUGAAGCUGGAGAAGUUAUUGUGCUUGAAAUACUUAGGAAGCAGAGUAGUGGAGAAAUUAUGAGAGUCCCAAACAAUAAAGCUGUUGCGAGCUCUGCUCCAAGAAACAACGGAAUCCGUUGAAGGGUCUUCCACCAUUUCAUAAGUCUUGGUCAGAAAGGGAGGAGGACCAACUUCGUGCAGCCCCUCCAUCGGCUGCGGUUGGAAGCUUGAAGAUGAGGAAGAAGAAGAGAAACCUCCAGCACAAGUCACCGUCUCUUUCUCUUCUUUCACGACCACACCCUCCAUCGCGCUUGUUUAGUUUACGUUUCUCUAGGCGUCCUAACGAUGAUCAGAGGAUCCCAGAGGCACUCUUCACCCGAUGUCGGUUCUCGGGAGUCAGGCUUGGUAUCUUGUGCUUCUUGGUAAGAGUUCACAGAGGAAAAAGAUUGAAGCUUUGGAACAAGUGUAAAGUGUUUCUUGAUUCUGGAGAAGGGAGAGUGAGUUUAUAUGAGAAGGCAGAGGAAAGUUCUAGAAAUUGAAAAAAUCCUAAGAGAUUUGGUUGUCAGCUCUUUCGCAAGCUUGUAAGAAGUUUCUGCCAGUUGUCAAAAAAGCUGGUUUCAGACAAAAAAAUCGUGAAAGUUCUGGAAUAUGUUCAUAGAAUUGACCGAGCCACGGUGGGCCUAUUUGGUUGGUUUAUGGACAUUUCUCGUCGCCCACGUGACAGGCCCUGAUUUAGCUCACAGGAUGGGCUACGAUUGCCUAAAUGGGCUGGCUUGUUCCAAAUCUUUCGUGAAAGCCUACAUAUGAAAGCCCCAAGAACCAUGGUCCAUGGCCCAUGGCCUCAGACCAAUACAUGUAAUAGCAAGAUGAGUUAUUAGCCUGAACAUAAACUUAGGCCGAUCUUUUAUUAAAC
rnacentral:misc_RNA from 1 species